rnacentral:rRNA from 1 species
GUGCAGCAGGCGCGAAAACUUUACAAUGCGGGCAACCGUGAUAAGGGAACCUCGAGUGCCUGUAAACGCAGGCUGUUCAGGUGUCUAAAACACACUUGGAGAAAGGGCCGGGCAAGACCGGUGCCAGCCGCCGCGGUAAUACCGGCGGCUCGAGUGGUGGCCACUUUUAUUGGGCUUAAAGCGUUCGUAGCUGGGUUGUUAAGUCUCUUGGGAAAUCCGGCGGCUCAACCGUCGGGCGUCUGAGGGGUACUGGCAAUCUUGGAACCGGGAGAGGUGAGGGGUACUUCGGGGGUAGGAGUGAAAUCCUGUAAUCCUUGAGGGACCACCUGUGGCGAAGGCGCCUCACCAGAACGGCUUCGACAGUGAGGGACGAAAGCUGGGGGAGCAAACCGGAUUAGAUACCCGGGUAGUCC